UCCUUGAUUGAGGUUGGUAGUGGCAACUUCUCUGUUACUUCAAUCUUGGCUUUGCCAACUUCUAUUCCCUUCUUUGACACCUUAUGCACAAGCACUAUUCCUUCUUGUACCAUGAAUUGACAUUUCUCCCGAUUCAAGACAAGGCAUCAUCCAACGUGGAAAGUUGCUGGAGCAUUGCACAAUUUGAAUGGCAUCAUUCUAAAUACGAAGGUACGAUGUGGACAAGUGAAAAUGGUUUUCUACUGAUCUUGAGGUGUAAUGGUGAUCUGAUUAUAUCCGCUAUACCCAUCCAAGAAGCAACGUACUCUUGUUUUCCAAACGAUCAGACAUUUGAUCUAUGAAAGAAUUUGGAGAAGUUGUUGAGGAGCAGUAGAAUGCCAGAAUUAGAGAAGAAAUGUCGGAGAAUUUUUGUGCCAGAGCAUGUUAAUGUUGGAGCAUCGUUUUCUGCAGAAAUUCUUAGGAAGCACAGUAACACGCAUGAUUUUUAUUUAUGUUCGUACAACGCAUGUUUUACUGAGUUUUGCCCUAGUUUUCGGGAGAGCUAUAAAAGCAACAAUAUGUGGGUUGUCUCAUUAUCAAUCCUCAAGGGGGGAAUCGAUCCAAAGAGAGAAAAUACUCAAAAAAUGGUGCUGAAGUCGAGGAGAGCAUACCCAUUUCGUGGAAGAGCUGAUGUCAGGGAAGAGCUACUGCUGCCGUUGCGUGCUGGUGGUCUCCAUCUACAUUUUUCUCUUUUUCUCUAGAAUGGAUUGUAUCUUUCCCUUACCCAUUUCGUUUUCCCUUUUCCCCGUGAACUAGACUCCAUUUUGGGGAGAUUUAUAUGCUGUAACUUGAUACUAAACCUUUAGCUGCUACAUCUAUUUUUAA